rnacentral:rRNA from 1 species
UAGUCCACACCGUAAACGAUGAGAGCUAGUUGUCUGCAGGCAUGCCUGUAGGUGACGCAGCUAACGCAUUAAGCUCUCCGCCUGGGGAGUACGGUCGCAAGAUUAAAACUCAAAGAAAUUGACGGGGGCCCGCACAAGCGGCGGAGCAUGUGGUUUAAUUCGAAGCAACGCGCAGAACCUUACCUACCCUUGACAUGCCGGUCGAGAUUUCCAGAGAUGGAUUUCGUCAAUUCGGUUGGACCGUGCACAGGUGCUGCAUGGCUGUCGUCAGCUCGUGUCGUGAGAUGUUGGGUUAAGUCCCGCAACGAGCGCAACCCUCACUGUUAGUUGCCAGCAUUUAGUUGGGCACUCUAGCAGAACUGCCGUACGUAAGUCGGAGGAAGGUGGGGAUGACGUCAAGUCCUCAUGGCCCUUACGGGUAGGGCUACACACGUGCUACAAUGGUCGUGACAAAGAGUUGCUAGUCUGCGAAGGCAAGCCAAUCUCAUAAACGC